CUAGCGAGUGGCGGAUGGGUGAGUAACGCGUGGGCAACCUGCCCUAUACGGGGGGAUAACAUUGGCAACCCCUUGCUAAUACCCCAUAGCACCUUUUACGGGCAUCCCUAAAAGGUCAAAGAAAUUCGGAAUAGGAUGGGCCCGCGUCUGAUUACCUAGUUGGUGAGGUAAUGGCUCACCAAAAGCAACGAUCAGUAGCCGGCCUGAGAGGGUGAACGGCCACACUGGAACUGAGACACGGUCCAGACUCCUACGGGAGGCAGCAGUGGGGAAUAUUGCACAAUGGGGGAAACCCUGAUGCAGCAACGCCGCGUGAGCGAUGAAGGUUUUCGAAUCGUAAAGCUCUGUCCUAAGGGAAGAUAAUGACGGUACCUUAGGAGGAAGCCCCGGCUAACUACGUGCCAGCAGCCGCGGUAACACGUAGGGGGCAAGCGUUAUCCGGAAUUAUUGGGCGUAAAGGGUGCGUAGGCGGCCCUAUGGGUCAGAGGUUAAAUGCUACGGCUUAACCGUAGCAUGCCUUUGAAACUAUAGGGCUUGAGUGCAGGAGAGGAGAGUGGAAUUCCUAGUGUAGCGGUGAAAUGCGUAGAUAUUAGGAGGAAUACCAGUGGCGAAGGCGACUUUCUGGACUUAUACUGACACUGAGGAACGAAAGCACGGGUAGCAAACAGGAUUAGAUACCCUGGUAGUCCGUGCCGUAAACGAUGAGUGCUAGGUGUCGGGGGUCAAACAUCGCUGCCGGAGCUAACGCAUUAAGCACUCCGCCUGGGGAGUGCGUACGCAAGUAUGAAACUCAAAGGAAUAAACGGGGACCCGCACAAGCAGCGGAGCAUGUGGUUUAAUUCGAAGCAACGCGAAGAACCUUACCAGGACUUGACAUGGUAUUGACCGGUCUAGAGAUAGAUCCUUCCCUUCGGGGACAAUACACACAGGUGGUGCAUGGUUGUCGUCAGCUCGUGUCGUGAGAUGUUGGGUUAAGUCCCGUAACGAGCGCAACCCCCAUUUUUAGUUGCUAACAAGUAAUGUUGAGCACUCUAAAGAGACUGCCGAUGAUAAAUCGGAGGAAGGUGGGGAGGACGUCAAAUCAUCAUGCCCCUUAUGUCCUGGGCUACACACGUGCUACAAUGGUCGGUACAACGAGGAGGUACACAGCGAUGUGAUGCAAAUCUCUUAAAGCCGAUCCCAGUUCGGAUUGCAGGCUGCAAUUCGCCUGCAUGAAGUCGGAGUUGCUAGUAAUCGUGGAUCAGAAUGCCGC
rnacentral:rRNA from 1 species